rnacentral:misc_RNA from 1 species
CGUCGAAGGUGGGGCUGAUGACUGGGGUGAAGUCGUAACAAGGUAUCCGUACCGGAAGGUGCGGAUGGAUCACCUCCUAACAGGGAGACAAACAACGAUUUUGAUGCCUGAGUGUUUUUAUUCUUAGGCCGAAAUCCUGUCACCUUAGGUCGAUCGGUACCUCAGAUUUGAAAUCAAGAUAAUGCAGCAAUGUGUCGUGCUUGAUGGAGAUUUUCAGUUCCUAAACUUUGUCUAGGUCACACCCCAAAAGGGAUGAGACUCCUGGGCCAUUAGCUCAGGUGGUUAGAGCGCACCCCUGAUAAGGGUGAGGUCCCUGGUUCAAGUCCAGGAUGGCCCAUUCGGUGUUGGGGGUUUAGCUCAGUUGGUAGAGCGCCUGCUUUGCAAGCAGGAUGUCAGGAGUUCGAGUCUCCUAACCUCCACUGACCGAACUUUAUCCCCAUCUCCAAAUUGUUGGAGUUGAGCUCGAUUGGAGUGUGAUUUAGAUGUGUCCGCUGGAUGACCCCAGCUUCCUGUCAUUCCAAGUUUAAAAGUGAAAGCUUUGAAUUUGGUUGAUAAGAUGCUGGGCUCGAACUGAGCAAUCAGUUUGAAAUUCUAGCAGAACCUUGACAACUGCAUAGGUGAAGUCUGGAAAAACAAAGCAUCUUACAGAUGCAUUGUUUUGAGUCUAAUUUUUCGAAAGAGAGAUUAGAACCAGAACAAUGAAAAUUCUUUUGAGCAAGAGCCGAGACUCUUGAAUGUUCUUUGAUUCGUGUCGAGCGAAUCAGAGUUUGAUCUUGUUUUUAGUAAUAAAAACUUGAGAAUCUGCUUUCAACGGCGGUAAGCGUUCAAGAGGUUAAUUGGUCAAGCUACAAAGGGCUCA